AUGAGGUGCCCAGGCAGAGCGCGGGGUCUGGACACUCAGCACUGGCCAUGGCCUGGCCAUGGUGGGCGUGCCUGCCGCAGGGACAGCCAGUCCACCAAGCCCAGCACCUCCACACCCGCUCGUCAACUGCUCGUUCAGCUGCUAAUUGUUGCGCAACAGCAUAGCCACUGCGCAUGCGGGUUGACGUCAGGCUCUUCACACGCAGUACCUCCAAUUCCCCAUGCGCGUACCGGUCGGCUGCAGGAAGCUCCAAGGCCAGCGCGGAAUGCAGGUGUGAGAGCAGCCUGGGCUGGGAGACUCUGCAGAGACGUAUGUAUGGGUCACAAAGGUAACCAGGAGAAAGAACUCUGUAAAGCUGUCUGGACAACAUGAAUUACUGCGAGAUGCUCGGAAACCAGAACAUUAACUAUUUUCAUUCUGAAACUUAUCUCCCAAGAAAGCUUCAUAGAUGAAUGUGUUGUGCAUUAAAGUUGCAAGUUGAGUCACAUACAUAGGUUUUAGACGUUCACUCAAAAGGAAUCUGCUGUUCAAAGUUUCUCUCUUGUGAAUGUGUGGAGAAAAGUCAGAGGCAUUAUUCCUCAAAAUUAUCUGUUUGAUUUUUCUGGUGUGACCUUUAUAGUAAGGACAUUUUAACAUACAUGGAUGUAAGAAAAUGACUGAUUCAAGAUUACUUGUAAGGACAUAAUUUUUAAUUAGCACUUUUUAACAGGAACUAGUUGAAUAUAACAUUGAUUUUGGGUCACAUGCUCUGAAUUCACCUCUUCCCCAGCUCAUCUGUAUUUAUAAGUCAUUAAUAGUAAAACUAAUUUCUUUCAUCUUUCUGGGUGCUGACUAUGAAAAGUCAGCAAACAAGUUGAAGUGAAUAUAAAUAUUAGAUGCCAAAGUGUAUUGGUGAUUUAUCAUGGAAUGGGGACUGGGUAUUAUGUUGAUCAGGGUACAUUCUAUAGCAUCUCACAGUGCCAUUUCAAUUCCUUUCAAAAUGAUAAGUCAAAGCUCUCAACAACAAGCUAGUAAUUUGGUGAUCUAGCUCUCUAUACAAAAAGGGCACAUUUUCUUUGCAACAUUUAUCUUUUUUGCAAAAUGAAGGCUGGAAGGGAAGAGGCAGGGUGGAAAGCAGAAUAGAAGGGAAGAAAGAGGAGAGGGAGGGGAAAACUGAAGAAACUCAUAAACUAUCUGAGUCUUAGAUACUAAGGUUUAUUUUCUCACUUUUUUUUUCUUAGUUUUCAAAGAGACAGGUUUUCAUCUGCUGUAGGGCUUUUGAGGUGGAAACAAAGUGUAGACAAGUUAACAUUAAAAAUAAUAAUAAUAAUAAUGUAUAGUGUAUCGUCCUUCUCCUGGGGAUCUUCCCGACCCAGGGAUCUAAUGUGCUUCUCUUAACGUCUCCUUACCUACAUUCCAGCGUAUAAGAAGUACCUAUGCUACAGUCCAUGCGAUUUCAAAGAGUCAAACGUGACUAAGUGACUAACAUUUUUACUUUCUUUUUCAAGCUAUUAAGUACUCAAGUAUUGUAAGGAAUUUUAACAUGUUGGAGACAACACAUGAAUAAAUGUGUGCUUUCAGUUUAGUUAAUUUUUUGUUAUUCCUAUUUUUUCAUGAAUAUUCAUAUAUUUUGAAGGUUUUGAAAAAGUAUUGUGAAUUGUGGAUGUGAGCGACCACGCACUAGUUUUGUUUUGCUUUCUUUUGAAACUCCAGUUGUAUAAGUCAUAUAUGGAUACAAAUAUACAGUACUUCAACACAUCCAUGCAUUAGCAAUUCAUAGCAAUGUGAUCUUAUAAAUAUCAGUUUAUGGUAUAUUCUCCUCAUUAACUCAUCAGAUAAUAUGCAAAAUAAUAUUUCUUAUGUGCCUAUGACCUGCUUAUAGAACUCUAGGCCCUGGGUAUAUAGACAUAAACUAAACUAAUAGUCUCUGUUCUUAUGGAAUUUUAAUAUUAAUGGAAGUCAGGACAGAAAAUAGACAAAUAGAAAAUUCAUAUAUAAUAUUCUAGAUCAUAAUAAGAGUGUAAGAACAAAAAAAUGAGCAGAGUAAAUGAUAUGGAAAAGCUUCUUUGAUAAGAUAAUUGAACAGAGAUCUGAGAGGCAGAUAAACAUCCUUAAGAUUUCUUAAGGUAGAGCAUUCUGAGAAGUGCAAGUGUGAAAGCCCUAAAGGAAAAACCUGUUAGUCACAGAAUAGUAAGGCAAUCUGGAGAACAAGUAUGAAAUCAAAGAUCAUUUUGAGAUUGUAAGAGUUGUUAAAAUGAAGUGAAGGUGUUUCUUUGUGGGAAACCAGAGUAUUAUUGAUUUGAUGUAACCAAAACAAAAGUAAGUUCUAAGGCUAAUACAGAGGAUGAGAUGGUUGGAUGGCAUCCCCAACUCAAUGGACAUGAGUUUGAGCAAGCUCCGGGAGUUGAUGAUGGACAGGGAAGCCAAGUGUGCUGCAGUCCACGGGGUCACAAAGAGUCAGAUACAGCUGAUCAACUGAACUGAAGACUAACACAGGGACAGAUGAUCCACUAAUAAUCUAAAAUCAAAAUGUUAUUUUCCUCAAAAGAAUCAAGAUUUUCACUGAUUUACUUUUUGAGAUUAUUUAUUCAGACUAUAAGUGAAUGCCUAUGUAUCAAAUAUCUUUAUCUUUAUCUCCUCUUUGUUUUCAGUGCCCAAUAAUAUUUUGUUAAAAUAUAAUUAUCAGCUAAAAAUAAAUGUAACUUACAAUUAUUGAGUAAUUUGGAACUUGGAUAACUUAAUCAGGAAUGUUGUAACUGUGCAAACAACAAAAAUUGAAAAGGAGACAAAUUAUAUUCAUGCAUUAAUAUUAGAGAGCAAAUUAUCAGAGCCACCUAUUUUAUUUUAUUGAUUUUUGUUGUUUUGUUUGCUUUUUCCCUUAGUAUAAGCAAUAGACAACUGUAAAUAUGAAAGAGAAUACAGUUAGAAAGACAUGGGUAAAUUUAGUAAAUGUUCCCUGCUCUGCUUAUAACUGAGAUUGACUGCUGCUUGUUUCCAUAAUGCAAUAAAGUAUCAUAAGGUCAAUUUAAUUAACUAUCUCGUGAUUCUGUAAACCCUAGUACCUAUAUAGUAGGCUGGUAACAUGUAUCAAAUUUGGUUUAUAUGUUUAUUUCCAUGUACAAAAUAGGGAUAAAAUAUAUAUUUUAGUUUUAAA
rnacentral:lncRNA from 1 species